GCUGCUUCUUGGCUAACGGAUGUUCCCACGCAGGGAUAAGGGCAAGGCUGGCCUGUAGAACCUAGAGGGGAAAGCACACUCCCCACGGAGGCAUAGCUCAAAGAUGAGAUGGUGGGGAGCGGGGGGUGAGUCAUCGAGGAGGACCGAGGAAGAUCCGUGUGAGGCCUCAGCCGAUCCGAUGAGAGGGGAGGAGACUGGCUGGAGCAAAACUGGGGAGACCAGGGAAAGAAGUUUAGACAGCCCCGGAAAAUAUGGACCGGACCCUGAAAGGUGCCAAUGGACGUAAUCAGAAGGCUCUCUUUUAAACUAGAGAUGAGCAGGUCAGCCUUCCGAUGGGCUGACAGAAGUAAAGAAGAUGGCUUUCAGUGAGAUUGUAGAAUCUUCAUGAAUUUCUGCAAACUGGCAGCUUAAUCUUAUAUUCCCGGAGUGGUCAGGGUACAUCUCGGCUUGGAUCUUUUUCAGUAAUAUCGGAGCUGGAAACGAGAUAUUUGCAGGAAGUGAAAACGGGCUGCUCAGAGAACAAGUCCCUCAACUGGAAAGUAGCUGAAGAUCCUAACAAUAUGAUGGGAGAGAGAGAAAAAAUACCAAGUGCUUAUUGUCGGCAACACCCAUUUCAGUGCAAAUGGCCCUACGGGGCUAGCUGUGCUCAAACUCCUGGUCCAGAGUUUUGACCCAGACUGCCUCCUCAUCUGGGACCUAAUUCCUCAAGGGCCCUUCCAACACUAUGCGGUGGCAGUCUUCACGAUGAUUUGUGGAUACCCAGAUGUUCCUAAGGCUGCCAACCCUGUCCACCGCCCAUUCUAAGUUCUGAACACAAAAAGCUGGGGGGACAGAGGGGAGGGUAUACAGUAGGCAGCAGAACGACAUGAGGGUCUUGGAAAGCUAGAAAGCUGGCUUGGACAAGAAGCCUCAGGGCUUCAGAAAGGACCCCUGUUUGUGUGGGAGAAAGGGAGGAAUGGAGAGGAAGAAGCUACAAAGAAGCCCUGGGGGUGUGGCCAGGUUUUUCUUCUGUGCAUAUUCUGGCCAAAUGUUGAGGGGAAAGGCUAGAAUAGAAAGCUCUGAAUGUCCCCAAGAAAGGUACUCAGUUUUAUUUCUUUGAGUCAUCUGAGUCACCCCCCCGCCACACACACACUAACUCCUUCCCAGAGGGGUCUCUGGUGCGAGAGCUGCCCCCCUCCCCCCCGCCCCCCCCCCCCGCGCAGAACGCUGUGCUCACACCCGGACGCAGACACCAGAAGACACCCC